rnacentral:piRNA from 1 species
UCCAGAACUUGAUGGAAAGACCCUAUUGCUA